rnacentral:tRNA from 1 species
AGGGUUGUGGCUCAGUGGUUGAGUGCUCGCCUCACACUCGGGAGAUCCUGGGUUCAAUCCUCAGCAACACAU